rnacentral:sRNA from 1 species
UGCAUGUGGAGGUCAGAGGACAACUUGGGGAGUCAGUUCUCUCCUUCCACUAAGUAGAUUCCAGAAACUAAAAUGGCCUGGUGGUGAGUGCCUUUACUUGCUGAGCUGUCCUGCUGGCGUAUGAACAAAACUUCUGAACCAGAAAACCGGGUGUCAUCUGAACAAGCAAGGAGCAGUUUUGUGUCACAGUUACCUGCUGUGUCACCCAGCCCUGUGGGCAGCUACUCACAGUAGGCUACCCUGGGCCAUUCUUUAUAUGUCAACAGCUGACCUGUGCGUGAGAGGACAUUACCAAGAAAGGGGCUGGCUUGGGCUAGAAGGAAGCACACCCCCUGGAGACAGGCAAGCAUGCAACUCCAGAGACAGCUAAACUGGGCCACCUCCAAGGCUCCUCCACAGGGAGACUGACUGCUAUUUUGUGCCUCCCCUGAGGGGCGCAUAUACACAAGCACAUAAACAGCACUGCACACGGAGGGAGAAUCACACACAGCAGUUUAGGACCACAAGGGCAGGGAGCUGGUGGAGAGGUGAUUUCCCAGGCCCGGAGUGGCUGGUGAGCUGGGGACUCAGUUAAUGAGCUCCUUGACUGUUUCUGGCAAUCUUCCCCACCCUGUCCACUCAAGGGCAGCCCUAGCUCCAGGAGGCACUCGACAGGGGGAGAACUUAAUAGGUGCCAGGUGCCUUGCCCAUGUGACCUCAGUUAACCUUUACAGGUAGGAGUGAUUACCCCGGUUGUGCAACAGGAAAACAGGCUCAGAGAAAGCACUUGUGCCGGAAGCUCCAGAGGGCAGGGUCUAGACGGGCCACCCAUAAGCAUAAGGGGGAGGGCCAUGUUCCAAAGCAGGGGCCUUGGGGGAGGGGAAAUGGCAAAAGAGCCACAUACUCCUGAGUCUCCUGCAUCUCUGCCUCGUAUCACUGACCCCUUCAGCUACCAAGCACCUUGGCUCAACUUUAAUGCCCGAAAAUGACCUGGUCACAACCAGGACCCAACAUGCACCUGGUCUGGGAAAUCCUGUCACCAUCCUGUACCGUCUUCAGGCCUCACCCUGCUUUCCCAUAAGCUCCUAAGGCCAGGGGUAUGACUCUUCCUUUCUGCCAGCCUCAUUUCUUCAUUGGGCAACACUCUGAGUUAGCAAAUGCCCAGUCAUCUUCAGGGGCCCUCUAUUCCAGGAAGCCUCUCAAGACAUUCAUUCAGGCUACUCCUGUGCCAGUGCCGCCCCAACCUGCCUCCACUGUUCUGUCAACUCACAGACUUGUGCCCAGCUCGGUGGGUUCUGUCUUGUGAUGGCUCUGGGCCGAUUAUUUCUCUCCUAGCCCUUACCACGUGAGAUCAGCAGAAACCUCUGCCUGAAGGCUGGAUCAAGGCCACCUUAAUGCCCACAUCCAUAUAUCUUCCCUCCCAAGAAGGCACAAAACCCUGGGUUAGGGAGACGAGCUGAGGGAGGUUCCAGAAGUGUGCGUGCGUGCGUGCAAGCAAGCAUCCCUUUGUACCCAGGUUUCCACUGGAGCUGACUAGGCAUCAACGCUAGGCCUCCAGGCUAACUCUUGGCAGCUGCUUCUCUCCCCUGCUUCUCUCCGCUCCCCUCUGAGGCCAGGGCCCCCAUUCAUUUGUCUCGUUAAGAGGCCUAUAGAAACACAUUUGUCCGCUCUGCGCUUCACUGCUCUGGUCGUCAAUUCUCUGGGGGCACCCGCCCUGCCUUCUGCAGCAGUCCUGUCCGAGUCUGGCUGCUUGCCCCUAGUGAGAAGUCUUGCAAGUUCAGUCCAAGCCUGGCCAUGAUGGGGAGAGAUUCAAAAAAUGAGUGUAAUUUAAAGGUAGGCUGGGAGGGCAGAGCCCGACUCGUGAGGUUGGUGUACCAGAGCCCCUAGCUGACGGCUCUUGGCCUGGGACAGUGCCCAGGACACAGCACCUGGAGGUCAGCCCUUAGUAGAGGUGGGGUCCCAGCUUCUUCACCUGGUUCCCACCUUUAAGUCCCUGGCUGGCCUCUGUAACCAAAUUCCUAAGGAGCCAGCAGCAAGAUUCCUGGAAAUCUGCCCCAAAAACAGCUUCGUCUCACUCCUCCUGACUCCUAUGGCAGUCAGGACUGUCCUGUUCCUUUAAUUUAUUCACAAACCCCCUCUAGACUCUGAGCUUGAACUGUCUAAAGCCUGCUGGGGCAGACAGGCUAAGGGAGAAACACCACAGGAGCAUGCUCUGAGGAGUGCAGAGGACCAGACGUGAGCACACUGCCACAGGUAGUAGUGACAGUUGAGUCAGAUCUAGUCAUGUAAAGGGAGGGGAAACGUACCCCCACACCUUGUUUGUUUUUGGAGACCGUCACGUAGCCCAGGCUUGUCUUCAACUCACUGGGUAGGCAAGGUCAUCUACAACUCUUAACCCCCCUGCUUCCACCUCUCAAACGCUAAGAAUACAGGCCCUUGCCCUCACCACCAUACCUGACUGCCAACGUGGAAACAGGAAGGAAGCAUGGAGAAGGCCUGGACACAGGGGAGAAGAGAGACAGUGACAGGUAGGGUAGCUGACCCUGCAGGCGGUUGGGGAGGGAAGGGACGCAAUCUGACUCUCGCCGUGGGAUAGAGAAUAUAGAGAAUGGGCUAGGAGGGAAGGGACUGGAGGCAGGGAAACCAUCAGAAGGUUUCCUGGUGCACGGUCAAACUCAAGAUGAAGCUGAAGGAGGCUUGGCAGAAGGGGGCGGGGAGAGAGAAGUAGAUGCAUUCCAGAGACACUCAGAAGCUAGAGGCCACAGAACCUGGAGAGGGCUCACACAUGGGAUAAAAGGGAGAGAGAAGCUGGGAGAAGCCCCGGCUUCCUAACUUGGUGACAAGGUGGACAAUAAUGCCAGGCACAGAGAAAACGUGGGGGGGGGGAGGUUGGGGGGGUUGUGCAAACAGGAUGGUGAGACUGAGGGGUGAAGGCUGGGGCGUGCUGAGUUACAGGGAAGAUGAAGAGGGCAGUUAUUCUCCUAGGCCUCACUGUUUCUCAAAACUCAGUGGCAUGUCUGGGCCCUGAGACUAUCUGAGAAGUGUGACAAGAGUCCUUCACCAUCCAAGGGCCACUGACUACCCGUCUAUGUCAGUCACACCUAGUGCCAGGCCCCAGGAUCACCCUCCCACUGCUGCCCUGCUGCUCCAAGCUCUCUCCCAUCAGCCCCAGCCAGGCCUAAGGAUCAUCCCCCACUCGCCCUUUCUAAAGUUUUCUACCCGACUUCUCUUCUAGAUCCCUAGCCCUGUACCCCACUGGCUAGACUCUCCAGAGAAAGGCCCCCUCCCUCUCAUUCUCCCCUACCCAGGGCCCAGCCUCUGAGGACAAAGGGAGGGGUGCUCCAGGGCCACCCUCUUCUAUGACUGGCUCCUGAAUUAUUAAUGAGCCAUUUAGAUAGAGCCCUGGGACAAGGCUCUUGUCUAGAGACCUGAAGGGGAUAGAGAAAUCCCUAUGGCCUGCUAUCCUGGGGCCUGACCCCUGGGUUGGCCCUGGACUGCCUCUGGGUUCAGGACAGGCUGGGAAUAGCCCCUUCCCCCCAAGGGACCUCAGCUCCGACCUUGCCCCUCCCCCAGCCUGCAGAUUGGCUAAGCCUGUCCUGUGCUCCGCCUCCUACCAGUAACCAAGCAGUGGUAACCAUGGUGACAGGGCGGGCUAUGGACAGUCUUAUAGUGCCAGGCAGGGGGAAGGGCAGCAGCAGGGAAGAGACCAAAGUUCGGGAGUUGGACUGGAGUAGGGGACAAUUCGUCCCCCCAACACACAGACACACACUCACUUUCAUUCCCUGCCCCCUCUCUCCUUCCGGCAAGCCAAGUGACACAGUCCUUCCCCAUUUUCCAAGGACUGCAGGCCUGCCUCAGGGAAGGAUAUGGGUAACUGAACUUCUGAGUCCUCCCUGGUCUGUCCUCCCUGGACCUGUGGACAUGUCUGGUACACUCAGGGCCAUCUACAGAGAUCUGCAAUGUGGACACAGCACAUGCCUAUGCAUGUCGCAGAGAUCAUAUGAAUCCAAGACACGGCUCCCCGACUCCAUAACAGGGUCAGGCUUAGACAUGCACCACUUGGCAGAGCCUAAGGGGGACCCAGGUGCUCAGCAAGGAUGUUCAGAGGAAGUGGGACCAGGUACUCCUUAGCAGAGGGCUUUCCAAGUUCGAACUCCAGAGCACGAGGGCUAGAGGUUCUCUGUGGACAUCCUGUUUCUUUUUUCUAUCCCCAGCCUGUCCCAAUAGUCCCGGAUUGCAUUUUAGAGACCUGCUAGGAGCACUUUUGGAAACUGAACUGUGUGUGAAACCGAAGAGCCGAGAACCACUGCUCUGAGGAAAGAGGGAUCAGCAGGCAUAACACCAAGCCACAGGAGUCGUGGAUGUGUCUGAUGGAAAAUGCGUGUCACUUCCAUGAGGUCUGCCCAUACCAUCCCUGCCAGGGCCAAAGAGAACCCCCAAGAGACCACGUGACGCCAGGACCGAGGGAUUCCCGGAUGGAAAACAGCUGGGAUCAUUCUCAAGGCCCCCCUCAUAAAUAUGCAAACACAGA